CCUACGGGUGGCAGCAGUGAGGAAUAUUGGUCAAUGGACGGAAGUCUGAACCAGCCAUGCCGCGUGCAGGAAGACGGCUCUAUGAGUUGUAAACUGCUUUUGUACAAGGGUAAACCUGAACACGUGUAUUCAGAUGAAAGUACUGUACGAAUAAGGAUCGGCUAACUCCGUUCCAGCAGCCGCGGUAAUACGGAGGAUCCAAGCGUUAUCCGGAUUUAGUGGGUUUAAAGGGUGCGUAGGCGGAUUGGUAAGUUUGAGGUGAAAUGUCCGGGCUUAACCCGUGAACUGCCUCUAAUACUGUUGAUCUAGAGAGUAGGAGAGGUAGGCGGAAUGCAUGGUGUAGCGGUGAAAUGCGUAGAGAUCAUACAGAACACCGAUUGCGAAGGCAGCUUACCGGUCUAUAUCUGACGUUGAGGCACGAAAGCGUGGGGAGCAAACAGGAUUAGAUACCCUUGUAGUC
rnacentral:rRNA from 1 species